UCGAAACCUUAAUUGCCGACCAUGAGGGCGAACCUGAGAUCUUUGGUCGCGAAGGCUUACCGCGUUCGUCAAGGCCGUACUUUCUCCUCCUCUUCUUCCUCCGCUACCAAUCCCAUCGACAACAAAGGGGAUAUUUCUAUUUACGAGUACCUCUUCAGUCGAGGUCUGGUAU